rnacentral:rRNA from 1 species
AUUGAACGCUGGCGGCAGGCCUAACACAUGCAAGUCGAACGAGUGGCGGACGGGUGAGUAAUGUCUGGGAAACUGCCCGAUGGAGGGGGAUAACUACUGGAAACGGUAGCUAAUACCGCAUACCAUCGGAUGUGCCCCGAUGGGAUUAGCUAGUAGGUGGGGUAAUCGCUAACAUAGGCGACGAUCCCUAGCUGGUCUGAGAGGCAGACCAGCCACACUGUGACUGAGACACGGCCCAGACUCCUACGUGAGGCAGCAGUGGGGAAUUGUGGACAAUGGGAGAAACCCUGAUCCAGCCAUCCCGCGUGUAUGAAGAAGGCCUUCGGGUUGUAAAGCACUUUUGGCAGGAAAGCGGUACCUGCAGAAUAAGCACCGGCUAACUACGUGCCAGCAGCCGCGGUAAUUC